rnacentral:siRNA from 1 species
UUUUGUAAUGCGGUAUGGUU